CCGAAGUUCUUGGCAGGGUCGACCCUCGCGAGUCUCUUCCGACUUUCAACAACUGUUGGUGAGCUCCCGUCGCUCCGCCCGGACUCCUACGGGAGCCGGGCUCCGUCCACGACGUCUACAGCAGGAAAGACUCCGCCCGGACUCCCACGGGAGCCGGGCUCCGCCCACGAUUUCUGCAGCAAGGAAGACCCCGCCCGGACUCCUACGGGAGCCGGGCUCCGUCCAC
rnacentral:lncRNA from 1 species